rnacentral:rRNA from 1 species
AUUGAACGCUGGCGGCAUGCUUUACACAUGCAAGUCGAACGGUAACAGGCCUUCGGGUGCUGACGAGUGGCGAACGGGGGAGUAAUGCAUCGGAACGUACCCAGAGGUGGGGGAUAACGCAGCGAAAGCUGUGCUAAUAUUGCAUGUGAUCUGAGGAUGAAAGCGGGGGACCGAGCAGCAAUGUUUGGCCUCGCGCCUUUGGAGCGGCCGAUGUCGGAUUAGCUAGUUGGUGGGGUAAAGGCCCACCAAGGCGACGAUCCGUAGCUGGUCUGAGAGGACGACCGGCCACACUGGGACUGCGACACGGCCCAGACUCCUACGGGAGGCAGCAGUGGGGAAUGUUGGACAAUGGGCGCAAGCCUGAUCCAGCGAUGCCGCGUGCGGGAAGAAGGCCUUCGGGUUGUAAACCGCUUUUGGCGGGAACGAAACGGUGUCCGCUAAUACCGGGCGGUAGUGACGGUACCGGCAGAAUAAGCACCGGCUAACUUCGUG